ensembl:lncRNA
AAAAAAAACACCAAACCCCACCAAAAGGGACUGCAGAACUCUGAAGAGAACGCCAGGAUCUCCAUCACCUUCUUCCGGCUGUUCCGCGUGAUGAGGCUGGUGAAGCUGCUGUCUCGCGGGGAAGGGAUUCGGACCCUGCUGUGGACCUUCAUCAAAUCCUUCCAAGUGAGGGGAGAACCGGACACAACAUGCUAGAAUAGGGGGGUUGGGUUUACACAGGGAGAAGUGGCUCUCUUUGUCCUUCCUUUCAGAGCUCUAUUUGCUUUCACUUAAGUUCUGUUUUUUAAGAGAUUUUACAAGACAUUUUAAUUUUAACCACACAUUUAAAGUCUGUAAAUUAAAUUUAAAAAUUAUUUUCAGUUCUGAGAUGCAUGCAGCUAUAAAUGCCCUUGUUCUUGUGUAAAUCCAGCCUGGUAGAGUCUCACAAGCUACCUUUCCUUGCCUCGCCUUGUCCCUCCUCAUCCCCACCUCUUACUUGCGUAGAAGGUCAGGUAGAUGCUAUUUUUAAAAAAAAAAGAGGGAUGGUGUGAGGUAAUGGAGAGGAUGUUUGGGAGUCUAACUACAGAAGCAGAUUAUGAAGUUUGAAAACAGGAAAAAAAAUCCAUACCUUAACGAGAAAUCUUUUCUUCGUCUUUCCACUUCUCCUCUUUUCUUUCUUCUUCUUCUUCUUCUUCUUCUUCUUCUAUUUAUUACCGUCAAACACCCUGCGCCCUACUACUAACCCCUGAGAGCUCACCAUUCCCCGUAGGCGAGUUAAGCCGUAGACAAGUUUUGUUUAACGAAGCACUCCACCAAAAAAGUGAAAUCAUUUGAUAGAGAGUUGUGGGGACAUUAAAAUCAUCUGUUCUCUCUCUUGCGUUAGCUGAGACGGGCCACUUCAUGUUGUACUACUGCUGCCUGUUUGAACCACAGGCUUAAAAAUCAGCAGUGGUUGUGAAUAUCAUUUUGAGCUAUGCAUUAAUAUUUUGUGCGCUUAUAGAAUUUAUUUAAUUUAUGAGCAGGCUUUAACUUUUUCAUUUAUUCAUCAUGACUUGGCCCUGCCCUUCUAUACACAGGAGUAAUAUUAGCCAGGAGCACAGUCCUGCACUUUUGCUAAUGCGUCUUAAUAUAGAAAAACAAUGUUCUGCCCUUGUUUGGUGCAUGUGCUGUAUGUUGGGACUGAUCUCCUGGCUAAGUCCAGAGAACAGAUUGUAUUUUGCUGAGGUUUUUCACUCUGAAGUCAGAUGAUUUGUCCUGGAUUGUUUUUGGUGUUGUGCCACACAAGACUGCAGAUCCAUUCACUUUCACAAGUUUGAAAAAAGAAAAAAAAAAAAAGAAAAGAAAAAAAUAGAUUGUGACUUUGAAGAUUAAUUGGACGAGUGAGAUUUGAAUGAAAAUGAAUGGACUCCAGCUCUGGUGUAGGAUAAGCCUGCAGAAAACUUGCCACUGAUGCAUCUCUCCUCUCUUCAGGCUCUGCCCUACGUAGCUCUGCUUAUAGUGAUGCUGUUCUUCAUAUACGCCGUCAUUGGCAUGCAGGUAAGCUGUCAGGUUGUUAUCCCCUUGUUUCCCUCCCACUGUUAUCUUCUCUCACCUUCUCUCCUUUAGCAAGCCUCCGUCCUGUGUCUGUCCCCCUGGAGUCUUGUCACUCAGAGUUCCUGUUUGGUCAAGUUGUUAUUUUGCUCUCCCAUUAUCUUCC